rnacentral:rRNA from 1 species
GUGAGGAAUAUUGGUCAAUGGGCGCAAGCCUGAACCAGCCAUGCCGCGUGCAGGAAGACGGUCCUAUGGAUUGUAAACUGCUUUUAUUUGGGAAUAAACUCCGGUACGUGUACCGGCCUGAAGGUACCAAAUGAAUAAGCACCGGCUAACUCCGUGCCAGCAGCCGCGGUAAUACGGAGGGUGCAAGCGUUAUCCGGAAUCAUUGGGUUUAAAGGGUCCGCAGGCGGUCUUAUAAGUCAGUGGUGAAAGCCUACAGCUCAACUGUAGAACUGCCAUUGAUACUGUAGGACUUGAAUUCGAUCGAAGUGGGCGGAAUGUGACAUGUAGCGGUGAAAUGCUUAGAUAUGACAUAGAACACCUAUUGCGAAGGCAGCUUACUACGCAUAUAUUGACGCUGAGGCACGAAAGCGUGGGGAUCAAACAGGAUUAGAUACCCUAGUAGUCC